CUGCAGGACACAUGAACAUCGACAUUUCGAACGCACAUUGCGGUCCACGGAUACAAUUCCCGGACCACGCCUGGCUGAGGGUCGUU
rnacentral:rRNA from 2 species